rnacentral:rRNA from 1 species
UGGGGAAUAUUGCACAAUGGGCGCAAGCCUGAUGCAGCAACGCCGCGUGAGGGACGACGGCCUUCGGGUUGUAAACCUCUUUUAGUAGGGAAGAAGCGAAAGUGACGGUACCUGCAGAAAAAGCACCGGCUAACUACGUGCCAGCAGCCGCGGUAAUACGUAGGGUGCGAGCGUUGUCCGGAAUUAUUGGGCGUAAAGAGCUCGUAGGCGGUCUGUCGCGUCUGCUGUGAAAACCCGAGGCUCAACCUCGGGCCUGCAGUGGGUACGGGCAGACUAGAGUGCGGUAGGGGAGAAUGGAAUUCCUGGUGUAGCGGUGGAAUGCGCAGAUAUCAGGAGGAACACCGAUGGCGAAGGCAGUUCUCUGGGCCCGUAACUGACGCUGAGGAGCGAAAGCGUGGGGAGCGAACAGGAUUAGAUACCCUGGUAGUCCACGCCGUAAACGUUGGGCGCUAGAUGUGGGGCACCAUUCCACGGUUUCCGUGUCGCAGCUAACGCAUUAAGCGCCCCGCCUGGGGAGUACGGCCGCAAGGCU